rnacentral:lncRNA from 1 species
GCAAGUACCUUCAAAAUACGGAUUUGUGGUUGUACGUAAAGAUGGAAGUUUAGCCGGAACUUGCAAAUUUUUGUACGAUAAUUACAACGAAUGCAGCGAAGCCUUAAAAUUAUUUUAUCAUAACUGCUAUAAGCCGGAAUCAAAGAAGAAAGGUUUUAUUUUUAAAGUGCUUGCCGAAGUAAAAUGUGAUGAUGAACAAGAAGGUGUCAAUACUUGUUGUGAUAGUGCAUUCGAUUAUACUUGUUGCGAAUAUAUGCCUGAUGACGGUUAUUUUUUUGCGACAAAAUUUGUCAGAAACAAGUAACAGUACAGAUUCUAGGUUACAUACGAAAAAUUUCCAAGUGAUUAGCAGUACGGAUGUGCCCAAUAUAGAAGUAUCACAUGGUGUGUGACGUAACACACAUACAGUAUAUAAGAGAGAGAGCAACUGUUGAAAUAGUAGCUUCAACGAUGAAGGGUUGCCUUAUAGAUUUCGAGUGUUUCGUUCUCUCUUCUGAUAAGAUAAUUUACAGACAGUUAAGUUAUCUUUCUUUGGAUGAUGACAAGGGCGAAUGUAUACAGAUAUAUACUCCGGGGUUUAUUAUAAUCAAC